CUGCUUUGCCAAAUUUAUACGACCUGAAAAAUAACUCAAGUUAACCUUACUGAAAUGAAAUAUAAUUUAAAAUUUUGUGAGCCUCAUGUUACUGAGCACAUCAUUGAGAUUAUGAGGCAUGACUGCAUGAGUAUGACUAUCUAUCAUAAAAAAGAUACCACUCGAGUUGUAAGGUAUGAAACGGAGGGGGAAAGGAAUGAAAAAUCAAGAACCAUAGAUUGGAAAAGG
rnacentral:lncRNA from 1 species